AAAAAACUAAAACGAAACCGUAAUUGAAAACAGAAAAAACAGAGAGAUUACACAAAAACCAAAACAGGAAGAAUCUCGAAGCAAUAAGGUACCGACCCUUACACCCAAUCAAAUGCAUUGUUUUAUUCCCCGUCUCAAAAGGUCUUCAAUGUUCAUAAUUGACGGUUUCACAAAAAACGAAGGAGCAUCCAACAGAUAGACCAAACGUCUGAAAAAAACUCCUUACCCCCAUUCAAUUUCCUUCCCCUCCUCUUUCAAUCCGUUUCUCUUGGCCUCCCCUCACCCUUCUGGUAUCAACAGUAAAAAAAAACGUUCCCUUCUAGGUAAAUUAAUUUCCCCACUUUUAGCUUUUCUGUCGCAAGAACAUGAACAAAUUCAUUUGCUAAUCUUGGAACAUGAUUGAAGCUGAUUUCUUGAAAAUUAUUCUUCAUUUGUUGAAUAUUUCUAAUGUAAACACCAAUAAAUGAUUUAUCAAAUUCCAAAGACUUACAUUUCUUAACUGUUGUUAAUGAAUCCCUUUCAAUAAUGACUCGGCUCCAUUCCUUUAUCAACACCCACACUCACCACCAGGUGACAUGCUAAAGCUUCAGCAACGAAGGCAAUUGCUACUCUCUCAUGGAAACUCAAACAAGUGAAGAGUAUUAUUCCACCCUCAUCCCUAGCAACCACUCCUGACGCCGAUCAAAAACUCCGGCCAUCAAAAGCACCAUCAAAGUUUAUUUUGAUGACUGAACUCGUCGGAGUUAUCCAAGUAACAAUUUCCUUACUCUUUGUACAUAUAUAUUUCUCCAACCUUUCAAGUUCUCCUAUAUAGCUAGAAAUAAAAUUUGCAAUGUUUUUACCUGUAAUGACUUUCUUUUCAUGAAUCCUUCUGUUUCUGUCCUUCCAAAUAGCCCAAAGUGCACAGUAAAGUAACUUCCUCAGAUGGGUGGUACAAGAUUCAAAUAUCCAAGUAAGCCAUUGUUUAAACUCUAGACCCUAGUUAUUCAAAACUUGCAAAUAGUUUAACUUUGACUAAACAUCAACUGUUAUAGGACAUUGUUGGAAUAGAUGAUCUAUUGAUUCGUCCUCACCUCUACACCGAUGGCAGCAAGUAUUUGCGAUUAACUUCUUAGAAUUUAAGUUAGCAAACGUAGGUAGAUAGUUCCAAGAAAUCCUCCAGAAUGUAAUUUUAAUUUUUCCCGGGAGGUCUAGUUUCCAUAAGAGCUUAUAGAAAUCACUAGAUCAUGUCUGUAAUGCAGAAGUACUAGGAUCCUCCAAAUUUUAUGUAAUAGUUUGUAGGUGCUAUGAAUCGAGAACCCCCCGAAGGCUCCCCACCCCAGAUCAGAAAAUCCUCAUGGGCGUCCUGAGCAAGCGAAAUCCGAAGAAUAUGAUCAGCAUUCGACUGCAUGAAGGUAUCUAAUCCCUGCUUCUAAUUUCAAUCAUUAGAAUCAUUUAACUCCGACACCAUUAAAUUAUGCAAAAUUUGACUAUUAC
rnacentral:lncRNA from 1 species